rnacentral:rRNA from 1 species
AUGGACGACAUCCUUGUGUUUAACAACACACUAAUAGAUCACAUAAGCCAGAUCCGCGCGGUCUUGCAACUCCUCCUUGACAACAACAUGGUGUUGAAGAUGUCUAAGUGUGAAUUUGCAAAACCUAAGGUCGAGUACCUUGGCCAUGUGAUCAGUGCUGCUUGCGUGUCCACAGAUCCAACUAAAGUGGAGGUGGUCCAGAAUUGGCCAGUUUAG